AGUCUGGCGUCAUCUAGGUCGCUGCUCAGGGAAAUGCGGAGGCCAGUAGGCUUACGUGUUUACCGCGUAGGGCAAAGCCUUGCCAAAUUCCCGGCCAGCGGAGCGGCGAGGGUGGGGACUCACGGGAAGUUAAACAGCCUCGUCGGCGUCCUCGAGGCUCCAAAACCAGGCUCUAGGCGGGGACGACUGCAGCCGUUAUGGAGGCCACCGCGGCUACGGCCGCGGCUGAGGCCUCCCCAGGUGGAGCGGUGGCCUGGAGGGGAAUCUUGAUCCUGGGCCAGCCACCUGUCAAGAGGAGGCGGAGCGUCAUGCCUCUGGAAGACUGGAUGAAUAUUCUCCAGGAGCCUGACGAAGGCGAAACCAAGAAAGACCAGCGUGGAGAGUUGGUCGCCCAUCUGCUCUAAGCUGCUGUGUAUUCCCCUGUAAUGUAAACAUCGUGAAGGUGGAGACCCAGUUAACCUUUUAGGUGGAAGGCCAGAUGACAGAGGGCGGCAUCUGACCCGGAAGGCCCUCUGCAACCAGGCCAAAUACAUCUACAGGGAACCAAUGGGAAACAUCUGGGGAGGACAACCCAAAUAAGUAUCAUGCGAGCAAGGGAUGGUUUGAGAACUUUAAAAAUCGCUGCUGUUUUGCAACAUACGAAGUUGAUGGGGAGGAAGGACCCUUAAAUCCUGAGUGGGUAUCGAGUAUUCCAAGCAACUGGAGAGAGGCUUUGUGCCUCAACAGGUCUUCAACGCCAAGGAGAUGACCCAUCUUUUGCAGUGCAUGCCUUCCUACUUUUGGGGCAAAAGACAAAAAUCUGGAAAGCUUAGAGGAAGCUAAGGACAGGAUUUCCCUCAUUUUUUUGUGGCAGUGCCUCAGGUGACAAAAUGAUAAAACCACUGCUGCUUUACAAAGACUCUAACACCCCACUUGUCUUUUAGAGAUAAACGCCUUCCUGUUUUCUUGUAAUCACACCCAGAAUCACCACUGCCACUUUUUGGAUUAGUUUUACAAUUUUUUUAUCCAUCAAAUCCGAAGUCAUUUAACAAAAAAAAUCUGGAAAUCAGAAUGUUGCUAACUGUGGACAGAGGUCCCAAUCACCCAGAUUCAUUAUUCUUUGUUCAUUCUAAUGUUGAUACUGUGUUUCUCCCUCAGGAAGGCCCUAGCUUUCUUCAGCCCUUGGGUCAGGGUAUAACUGAAGCAUUUGAACAUAAUCAAGCAUAUGUUUGACCACUUUGCUGACUGUAUUGAAAAAACCCUCACCUUACUCUGAAAGAAGCAUGGCAACAGUACAAUAUUGCCGAUGCUUUGGUAGUGAUAAAAGAGGUGAUGGGUGAUAUAAAAUCAGCCACUCUUAAGCUUGCUGGAAACUGUGGGAGGAUGUGUGAAUGAUGCAUAUUUCCCUAGAGCUAAUGAAGAAGUUAAAAAAAAUCUUAGUGUCUGCAAAACAGGUGGGUUUAAGAUUUAUUGAUAUUAGGGAAAGUGAAAUUAAUGAGCUACUCAAGUUUCUGUCUUUGGUCAUCACUGAGAGUCUAUUUCCAUAGGAAGAAGUCUUUGCAGAGGAAAUUGAAUGCUGUCUGAUGCUACAAUUCAUAUGGAUCCUUUCCUGGAUUGAAGCCUGACUUUUAAAAAAGGUUUCAAUAAAUUGCUUAUACCUAUGAAGAGAUGCAAAAGAACCUUCAAAAUAAAGCAAAGGACUUGAAGAAAGAGAAGGAAGACAUGAAGAAGAGGAUGUCAUUUAGGUGAAGGGCCAUGCUGGAUAAGGAGCUGGCUGCCUCUGUGAACAUCCUACUCAAGGCAUCUUCACUGCUGUACAUCCUUUUGAAAUCCCAGAGAUCUUCAGUCUCCCUGUGGAUUAAGGAGAUGUGCAGUAUUUAAAGUGGCUUCAGGAAGGCAUGGAAGAGGACUGAGUGGGGAAAGCUUUUUGUGCAUGCUGCUGGCUACCUCCAGCGGCUGCCUCCAGCCUCCAUCAGCUGCACUCUGGGGAAGAGGAGGCUGCCUUCUACCUCCCAGCAUCUCUGGAUUUCAUGUUCCUGUCAGCACAGAGGAGCUAAAUGGCCUGUAGAGGCUGAAGGUCUGAGGCUCCUAAAGCUGGAAGAAAAGGCUGGGCCAGUCAGGCCAAGCAAGAACACAGUGUAACUUGUCUCUGAGUGCUUCAUGGUUAAGGGGGCUAAGCAGGCACAAGGGCAUGAGGAUGGUUAUAUGUACAGACUGAGGGGAAGAAGCAGUGAAGAUGAGACUUGCCAUCUUCUUGAGUCAGUAGGCCUGCCUCAGGUGCCUAGGAUGUAAUUGCUCUGCUGCUUCUCAUGGGGAGGAGUGGCCCUCAUGACCUUGUUUACCUGGAAGAGUGUGGGAUGAAUGCCUCCUCCUAUGGGGACUCGCAAGUGCUUUAGCAAAAGGAUAAAUUGCUAAUUGUGGCAUUUCGUGGAUCAGCAGGAUUAUUUCUCCUUGCUAAAGAGGAUUUUGUUGGUCCUGAAUUCUGAGGAGGUGGGACUAGGAAUGGGCUCCAUGAGCCUGUGUAUGACUCAGGGAAUAUUAGGACUUUGGCACAGCCUCAUGGGUUGGGAGUAAGUCUUGGCUCUUCCCUAGCCUGAAUGACAGACAUCAGAUCAUUCUGGUGCUUUGUCCAUGAAGAUGUAGAUUCUGAGCCCACCCAACUAAUCUUUUCACUUGAGCACAGAAACAGCCCCGGGAAUCGGACAGACCCGUGUCUUUCAGGUUUGCUUCACAGAGCCCCAGGGGUUGACAAUAGGUGCCUUGGAGACUGCCUGCAUGGGGAUUUUUAAAAAGCUUUCUUUGUUAAAGGUUUGUAAACCACUCCUCUGAGCCUGUUUUCAUUUUAUAGAUUAUUCAGGGAACUGAACUGCACAGAGAUCCAGAAAGUGGGUAGUGCAGGCUGUAGUGCUGAUAACUACUGUACUACUUGGAUCUUUGUGCUCCCAAAUACCAAAUGGAAGAGGAUCUCUGAGAGUCCUUUGCAAAGAUCUUGUAGGGACUUUAGGCUGGGGCCUUCGGAAAAUUCCAGAGGAUUCCAAUGGAGAUUUUGAGGGACUGACUCAGAAGAACAAAGAGAAUGAUAAUGGUGAUGUCCCUGCUUUUUACAACAGAUCAUGUUCUGAUAUAUAUGCAAAUCUGUGUAAAGUAAACCCUACCUAAAAUGUACUGGGGACCCAAGAUGGACUGCCUGUAUUGCUUCCAGGAUAAAGUCCAAUUUCUAGCUCUGGUUUUUAUAACCUUGCUUCAGCUCACCUUUUCCGUCAUCAUCCCCUCCAUCUCCUCUCCCACGCUGGGAAAUGGAUGGCUGCACUAUACUGUGUGAUGUUAUUGCUAUGUUCAUGCCAUCCCCUCUGCCUGGAAUGCCCUUCUGCAUGAAUGCCUGUGAAAUGUUGUUGCUCCUUUGUAUGGCCUGGCUUCCGUGGUUGGCAGGAAUCUCUUCUUUCGUGGUAUUCCUGUCAUCUUUGUGCAUCACAGUCAGCUUUGUAUUCCUAGCUUGUAAGCUACUUGAGGAUAGGGGCAUGUCUGAAUCUAUUUAAUCUCUUGCACCUGUUUGGCAAAUUGAUGUUUUAAGUAUUUAAAUAACUAAAGCUCUCUCUACAGUACAUACUCACUUUUGAUUUAUGAAUUGGCAAAAUUCAACUUUUUUCCUUGAAUAUUCUUAAAGUGAGAUGAAUUCCAAAGGAGAGUGUUCUGUGUGUGGCCUUCAUUGAGUGGUUUUCUGUUACCAGAAAGCUCUUGGUGGCCUUCCUCUUCCCUGGUGUCAAGGUUGACUGUUAUAGGAAAUGGGAGGGGAGAGGGCCGUUUCUGCCACGCAUUGUCCUAGGUUCUUAACAUUAUUUAAUCCUUAUAAUGCAAUGUUAUCCUCAUUUUACAGAUGAAACCUGAGACCAAAGAACAUGUAACACAUAAAGUACAUUGCAGAGUUAGGAUGUGAACCCAACUCUGAUUCUAAACCUAAUGCUCUCACUCUUUCAUUCAGAGGUUCAGUCAGUUCUUUGUAGGCUGUAGAUCCAGAGAAGCUGCCGUAGCCAACAAUGAAGUUGUUAGUUUUUAAAACAUCUAUGUGGUAAGUUGGUCUGGCACUUAAAAAUGUAUUGUUUCCCAGGCACGGUGGUUCACACCUGUAAUCCCAGCAUUUUGGGAGGCCGAGGCAGGCGGAUCAUUAGGUCAAAAGAUUGAGACCAUCCUGACCAACAUGGUGAAACCCCGUCUCUACUAAAAGUACAAAAAUUAGCUGGGUGUGGUGGCGCAUGCCUCUAGUCCCAGCUACCUGGGAGGCUGAGGCAGGAGAAUUGCUUGAACCCAGGAGGCAGAGGUUGCAGUGAGCCAAGAUCAUGCUACUGCACUACAGCCUGGCAACAAAGCGAGACUCUGUCUAAAAUAUAUAUAUAUAUAUAUAUUGUUUACUACUCACCACAGAUCUGCAGGAGUUCACUGAUCUCUAGGAUCUGCCUUAACUCCAACUUACAUGUUUUGGUCACUAUUACAAACUGUCAUCCCAGAAUGAUGCUGCAGAGGCUAGGGCUAGGACACAGACCAGUGUUUCCAUGUGGGAAUUCCCUCCCAGUAUUUCUUAGGAAAUGUAUGUUUUUUGAAUCCAUAAUCCCUAGAAAAAUCAGUUGAGGAAAUGAGAAGUAUUGUAAUUAUUCUGUGAAUAGUAACACUUACCAUUAUGGAGACAUCACUAGUUUGAAAGAAUCCAACUUCAUCAAAUAUUAACGUACCGAGUUGAAGGCUACAAGAACUGAGACAGGAGCAUAGCAGAGAGAAACGGUCACCAUCUCAUUAGCCCUAUUUUUGGUUGUUGUGAUGCCAUUACAUCUGUAUAUCUGGCCAUAUCAGCUGCUAAUGGUGAGUUCUUGCAAACAAAAUGAUUUGAUAAACAACCUACCAUACUUUAUACAAAUCUUAUGGUGUUCCGAGAAAUAAACUUUGGAAGCAAAAUAAGUUAACAGUCUGGACACGAUUGAUUCUAUAUUCUGUUUACCUUG
rnacentral:lncRNA from 1 species